ACCACUGCGAACUUAGUGAUAGCGCGGUUAACCGGCAUCCGCUACAACCAAGCGCACCACACCUCCUUCACUCCCUUAUCCCCCUGUCUCUCGUCACGUUCUCUCUCCCUCCCCUUCCUCCCUCGACUCCGAUCCAGAUCCAGGGCCAUGGUGCGCCCUCUUCCCCAUCGCAGCCGGCCACCAUCCCCACACUUUCUCUCCUUUGGCUCGUGGAUCCAUCUCUUCCAUGGCCGCCUCCCACACCGUCUACUCCUUCCCCCAUCUCAUCACUAGAGAAGACAAGGCAAGUGGGAGGGAAAUCGACCGUGUAGGUCAGAUCCAUCCGCCACGACCUCGGCGGAGAUGGCCAAGUGGAUGGAGCGGACCUGCAAAUCUUCAAUCCAAGGUAGCCUCGAAUUGCCGCGUGCGACGUUCUGGCCUAGGUCCGACGUUCCCCAUUUUUCUGGUUUGGGAGUGAUGCGGAGAGCCAGCAGCAGGUGAGGCAGAGAUGCCUGGGGCUGGGAGGCGACUGGAGCUGGAAGAGGGUGCUCAAGCUCGUGCUCCCCUGCCAGAGCAGCACCGGUCGGCCGUCUACAAGGUCAGGAACACGAGGUCGAGAUGGCGACAACGGCAAGGAGGAUGCCAAGGCGGCCAGGGCGUGGCCGGCUGCAGUACAGCUGGUCUGCAAGUUGAAGGUUAAUCGUACAAGUAGAAGGACCCGCAAUGGCGGCGACGAUGGGUUUCUGAAUAAUCUCUUUUCGACGUUCCAACGGCAACGGUCGCGACCGUGUCGCUGACACCAUCAGGAGCCGGUGGCCUGCUGAAGAACCUAAUCGAUCUUGGCAUCAUCGUGUAGUGGUGACAUUUUCGAUUUUGAGGUAGCAGGGGCCUGUAGAAUUUUGACAUACCUUUGAUGGUAUACAUCUUGGAUUGAAUGAUAUGACCUGCUAUUCUGAAUGUUAGAUGGACAUCUCAAAAUAUGGCCUUAACAAACAUGAAAGCUCUUGAAUAAGUCAUACAGUAUUGGAUUGACAUUAUUUCGUUACAGUAUUUCUGAAUGUAUAUUGUUCUGAAUUUUUUUCAUCCUAAUGAUGUCUUAUAUGCAUGCGACGGGCUAACCUCUGUAUAUAGGUUGGCACGUCGCACUGGGUGAAGGCUGCAGAUCAUGCACUCGAGAUCAUCCACAAAACAUCAGGGAGAGGUUCUGUCGGCUGGAGCUUGUGGGAGUAUCACGUCGUGAUCGAGACCUGGGCGACCAUCUAUAUGUUCCAGGGGCAGGUGCUAAUUAAUGGACAGUCCAAGGAUGAAUGGGAGAGGUGGCUGCUGAUUACGGUUUGAUUUUGGUAAUUAUAUUUGGGUUCCUUGUUCGUUGCCGUUUUGUUGUGCUAGAUGUGGUAUAUGAUCCAUAAGAUAUUUAGAUAUUAGAUUAUUAUCACUGCAAUAGCAUCAGACCAAACUUGGUCUUUUCUCAUGUGCUAAAUCAAAGUAGGAAUCGGUUGUAGAAGUAGACAAGACUGCAACUAGCUUAAAGUUGGUUAGAUUAUGUAUAAAAGGGUAUUUCUGUUGUCUACUCUUUAGGUUCCCAUAGUGUGAGGUGGUAUUCCUUUUGAAAACACAUAUAAACUGGCAUCGAUAGUGAACAAUGGUGCUUCCUGUACGUAUAAACUGGAGCAGCAAUACUUAAACCUUUUACGUAAUAAAGCGUCCCGUUUCGCAAAAAAUAAACUGGAGCAGUAAUAUGAGGCUGAAGUAACCGACAUUAGCAACAAUAAUAUAAAUGUUUUCUGCACUGGGUCCGUGUGUCUCACAUGGAUGUUGAAUAGAUAAAAUGCUAUAAAGAUCAGCUUGCUUCUCAUGUAAUUGGAACGAUUGUGUGUCUUAGUUUUUCCUGUUUCCUUUGGUUUUGCAGCCAAGAUUUUUUUAGCACGUGCAUACAGAGCAGAACUGGAGCAUAAUAGUAGUUGAAAAAUGUUUUAGUGUAGUUUAUUAAAGAUUCCGUUUAUUUCUACAUUACGAAUGUAACUACUUAGUCAUUCUCAAAAAAGAAAAGAAACGAAUGUAGCUUACUUAGUCCACUGAGUUCCUUUAUGAUGUGUCCCUAAAGAAAGAGAGUUCCUUUAUGAUGUGUAGCACAUGUCCUUUACUGAUACGACAUAGUUUCUCAUUCUAGGUAACGGCAAGUGAAGCCAUGAAAGGCAUGUAUAUUGUACUACAGACAUGUAGCUUCAUGGUAUCUUUGUUGUGAUGUUCAUGUUCUCUUGGAAGAUUCUCUUACUAGAUUUAUGCUAGAUUUCACUAAAUCAUCUUUCUUUUACACAAGUACUAUGUAAGCUGUAUGUUUCCCAGGUUUGUUCAAAGUUUCUUGCACAUUCA